AAAACUUUUUUCGAAAGAAAAAAAUCUGUUCUUAUCAGUUUAAUAUCUGAUACGUCCCCCAUCCGGGGACUACAUAUUAAAUGGAUUUUUAGAUCACGGAGCUGGAGCCGGGGCUUGCUCCGUCCACUCCAUGCAUCGGCCUGGUAUUGCAGUGUCUCCAGGACGGUGUGCUUUCC
rnacentral:snRNA from 1 species